ensembl:rRNA 5S_rRNA 5S ribosomal RNA
UUCAGCCAUACCACCUCAGGCUGUGAUCUUGUCAGAUCUCAAUAGCUAAGCAGGGUCAGGAUGGGUCAGUGUUUCGAUGAGAAAUCCCAAGGGAGAAACCCAGGUGCUGCAGGAA